rnacentral:tRNA from 1 species
GCACUUACUACGGUGUCAAGACUCCUAAAUCGGGUGUCGCAGGUUCGAAUCCUGCCGAGGGCA